GAGGGUAUAGCUCAAGUGGUAGAGUGCAUCCUUGGCAUGCACAAGGUCCUGGGUUCAAUCCCCAGUACCUCCU
rnacentral:tRNA from 1 species